rnacentral:rRNA from 1 species
CCUACGGGCGGCAGCAGUGAGGAAUAUUGGUCAAUGGGCGCGAGCCUGAACCAGCCAAGUCGCGUGAGGGAAGACGGUCCUAUGGAUUGUAAACCUCUUUUGGCGGGGAGCAAUGCUGCGCACGCGUGCCCGGAGGGAGAGUACCCGCAGAAUAAGCAUCGGCUAACUCCGUGCCAACAGCCGCGGUAAUACGGAGGAUGCGAGCGUUAUCCGGAUUUAUUGGGUUUAAAGGGUGCGUAGGCGGAUUUUUAAGUCAGCGGUAAAAUUUCCGGGCUCAACCCGGGCCGGCCGUUGAAACUGGGGUUCUUGAGUGGGCGAGAAGUAUGUGGAAUGCGUGGUGUAGCGGUGAAAUGCAUAGAUAUCACGCAGAACUCCGAUUGCGAAGGCAGCAUACCGGCGCCCGACUGACGCUGAGGCACGAAAGCGUGGGGAUCGAACAGGAUUAGAUACCCGAGUAGUC